rnacentral:rRNA from 1 species
UAUGUGAUCGUCUCUCGCAUAUCAAUAAGCGGAGGAAAAGAAACUAACAAGGAUUCCCCUAGUAACGGCGAGUGAAAGCGGGAAGAGCUCAAAUUUGAAAUCUUAAAGGGUUUCCCUUUACGAAUUGUAGUUUAAAGAAGUGUUUUCUGUUGAGGUUUUGGUAAAAGUUCUUUGGAAUAGGACAUCAUAGAGGGUGAGAAUCCCGUAUUUGACCUUUACUUUCAACUUUGUGAUACACUUUCAAAGAGUCGGAUUGUUUGGGAAUGCAGUCCAAAAUGGGUGGUAAAUUUCAUCUAGAGCUAAAUAUUGGCGAGAGACCGAUAGCGAACAAGUACCGUGAGGGAAAGAUGAAAAGAACUUUGAAAAGAGAGUUAAACAGUACGUGAAAUUGUCAAAAGGGAAGCGUUUAACACCAGUGUUGUUUUUCUGAAAAUCAAUUAAAGAACUGUUUAUGCUAAGCUGUUUAGACUUUAUCAGCUAUCUGUUUAGUUUUGAGCUUUUCUUUAAUGCACUUUUCAGUUAACAAGUCAACAUCAAUUUCUUUUGCUGUAAAAAAGCUUGAGGAAGGUGGCUUGAGAUUCGUCUUAAGUGUUUAUAGCCUCUUGCCUAUGCAGUCGGAGAGAUUGAGGUCUGCAGCGUAGAUCCUUCGGGGCUAAAUGCAUUUGUGCUAAGUUAUAGCAUUUUAUAGACAACUUGUUGACUAUGAUUUGUCUUGUAGCUUACUCGCUUAUGUUAUUUUACCUACGCUUAGGAUGUUGAAGAUAUGCGCGACACG